rnacentral:tRNA from 1 species
GCGGGAAUGGCGGAAUUGGCAGACGCGCUAGGUUGAGGGCCUAGUGAGCUUAGGCUCAUGCAGGUUCAAGUCCUGUUUCCCGCA